CAUUAGGUGGCUGAAUAGUUAAGCAAUGGAAUUUUAAACCAUUUUAUAGUAAUCUAACACUUACUUCUAAUG
rnacentral:tRNA from 1 species